AUGUCUACGGAAUGGGAGGGAGCACAAGCCAAGAAGCCUCUCUUGGUGACCGGGAACAACAAAGCUUCUUCCAUUUGGGUGGUGGUCGCUAGCACUGCCGUCGCCGUUGCUGGAUCCUUCGUGUUCGCCAUCUCGGUGGGCUACUCAUCACCAUCUCAGGAAGGCAUCAUGCGGGAUCUUCAUCUUUCCUUAGCUGAGUAUUCUGUCUUUGGCUCGAUAUUAACCAUCGGAGCAAUGCUAGGCGCUAUUCUCAGUGGUACCAUAGCAGAUUGGGUUGGUCGAAGAUGUGCAAUGGCAAUAUCAGAUGUGUUCUGCAUUCUUGGAUAUCUCCUUAUAGUCUUUUCUAAGAACUCUGUGUGGCUCGACCUUGGGAGGCUCUCAAUUGAAUGUGGAAUCGGCCUUCUCUCAUAUGUGGUCCCAGUAUAUAUAUCAGAGAUAACACCCAAGAAUCUUAGAGGACGGCUCGCAGCUGUAAACCAGCUUAUGAUAUGUUGUGGGGCAUCACUCGCGUAUGCUCUGGGGACAUGUAUCACCUGGCGCACCUUGGCAAUCGUAGGAGUGACACCAUGUUUACUGCAGCUGGUUGGCCUUCUUGUGAUUCCCGAAUCUCCCAGGUGGCUGGCUAAGAUCGAACACUCAGGUGCACUUGAGGAAGCGUUACAGAAGCUAAGGGGAAAAGAAACUGAUAUCUCCGAAGAGGCAGCAGAUAUCAAAGAUUUCACAGAAAAGAUUCAGCACCUGCCACAGUCAAAGAUGUUGGACCUAUUUCAGAAGGAUUAUAUUCAUGCUGUCACCGUUGGAGUUGGGCUAAUGGUCCUUCAACAGUUUGGUGGAGUGAAUGCAAUAUGCUUCUAUGCCAGUGAGAUAUUUGUUUCGGCUGGUUUCUCGUCAGGGAACACCGGAAUGCUCGCAAUGGUUGCGGUUCAGAUUCCGAUGACGGCACUUGGGGUGCUUCUGUUGGACAAGGCUGGAAGGAGGCCACUUCUGGUGGUCUCUGCAGCUGGGACAUGCCUGGGUUGCCUACUAGUUGGCCUCUCAUUCUUGUCCAAGAUCUUUAGUGGAUCUUUCUCACUGGGUAUGGGAGGAAUUCCAUGGGUUAUAAUGUCAGAGAUCUUCCCCAUACACAUGAAAGGGUCAGCAGGAAGCCUGGUGACCUUGGUGAGCUGGCUCGGCUCAUGGAUCGUCUCGUAUGCCUUCAACUUCCUCCUGGUACAUUUUUCAUGUUCGCGAGCAUUUGCGGGCUGA
rnacentral:rRNA from 1 species